CCGAGUCUGUUUCAAAAAUUUAUUAAUAUCUGAAAUUUGAGAUAACUUAUCAACUUCAAAAAUUUAAUAUUGGAUACAAAAGUAAUGCUAUGAGAUCUUGGGAAGUUAAUUUGUGCAUCUGAUCUGUAAUAAAUGGAACAUAUAUAUACGCCUUGUUAUACUUACAAUUAUUUACUUAUUAUGUUAUGUACAAAUGAACUUAUAUAUUAUUAUAGGUACGUAUAUGCCACUUUAUUAUACUAUACUACUCAUAUACAAAUACAAAUUAUGUAACAAUAAUUUGAAACAAUCCUACUCAGAAGUGAAUAGAACCUAGCUGGUUUUGCUUGGCCUUUAUGUGCUCUGGGCUGUAGUUUACGUACUUUACUCAGGCGGUAACUAACUGCUAAACCCCUUGUAUAUAUAGAUAGAUAGAUAGAUAGGCCUAGUUACUCGGGGAUGUAUUGCCCUUUUUAACUUUUGUUAUUUCGUUAUAUUAUU
rnacentral:lncRNA from 1 species